GUGCAGCAGGCGCGAAAACUCCGCAAUGCGCGAAAGCGUGACGGGGUCACCCCGAGUGCCGUCCGCUGAGGAUGGCUUUUGCCUGGUCUAACCAGCCGGGUGAAUAAGGGGAGGGCAAGUCUGGUGUCAGCCGCCGCGGUAAUACCAGCUCCCCGAGUGGUUGGGACGAUUAUUGGGCCUAAAGCGUCCGUAGCCGGUUUUGUAAGUUUCUGGGUAAAUCCCACAGCUUAACUGCGGGAAUUCCAGAAAUACUGCAGAGCUAGGGGCCGGGAGACGCAGAAGGUACUCCUGGGGUAGGGGUGAAAUCCUAUAAUCCUAGGGGGACCACCAGUGGCGAAGGCGUUCUGCGAGAACGGGCUCGACGGUGAGGAACGAAACCUAGGGGAGCGAGCCGGAUUAGAUACCCGGGUAGUCC
rnacentral:rRNA from 1 species